GAAACGCGAUAGUUAAUGUGAAUUGCAGAAUUCAGUGAAUCAUCGAGUCUUUGAACGCACAUUGCGCCCAUAGGUAUUCCUUUGGGCAUGUCUGUUUGAGCGUCAUUACAACCCUCAGCUAACCGCUGGUUUUGAACCUGAACGGGUGACACCGCGCCGGUUUUAAAGUUGUAAGCUCUGCUGGCCGCUCUGCUCAACCAGAACAUAGUAAGCACUACUUGUCCGGGUGAAGCUGAACGGUACGGCCUGAACAAAACCUACCCACUCUCAAGGUUUGACCUCAGAUCAGACAAGGAUACCCGCUGAACUUAAGC
rnacentral:misc_RNA from 1 species